rnacentral:rRNA from 1 species
GAAUAAGGACUGGGUAAGACUAGUGCCAGCCGCCGCGGUAAUACUAGCGGUCCAAGUCGCAACCAUUAUUAUUGGGUCUAAAACAUCCGUAGCUUGUUUAGUAAGUUUCUUGUGAAAUUUUAUGUCUUAAGCAUAGGGCGAGCAAGAAGUACUGCUAAGCUAGAGACCGGGAGGAGUAAGGAGUAUGUUCAGAGUAACGGUAAAAUGUGUUAAUCCUGAAUAGACUAACAAUAGCGAAGGCACCUUACUAGAACGGUUCUGACAGUCAGGGAUGAAGGCUAGGGGCGCAAAACGGAUUAGAUACCCGUGUAGUCCUAGCAGUGAACACUGCACACUAAACCUUGUGAUCUCCUCGAGAGAUUGCAGGGCUGCAGGGAAGCCGAAGAGUGUGCUACCUGGGAAGUAUAGUCGCAAGGCCGAAACUUAAAGGAAUUGGCGGGGAGACACUACAACGGGUGACGCGUGCGGUUCAAUUAGAUUAUACACCGUGAACCUUACCAGGAGCGACAGCAGGAUGAAGGUCAGUCUAAAGGGCUUACCUGACACGCUGAGAGGGGAUGCAUGGCCGACGUCAGCCUGUGCCGUGAGGUGACCUGUUAAAUCAGGUAACAGGCAAGACCCUCAUCUUUAUUUACUAUGUGUACUAUAGAGAGAUUGCCAUUGUAAAAUGGAUGAAAGCGGGGGCUACGUUAGGUGAGUACAUCCCAAAUCCCCUGGGCAACACGCGCGCGUCAAUGGCAGAUACAAUGAGAUGCGACUCUGAAAAGAGAAGCCAAUCUCUUAAAGUUUGUCUUAGUCCAGAUUGAGG